AUGGGGUGGGGAUCCCAGGGCUGGGCAACCACGGCUUCAAGCUUUUCUAUCAAUAUUGAUCCAGCCAAUCCCUACAGCCUUAGCAGAAUGAAUCACCCCACUUAUUCCGUCAGAGCCAAGCCUCAUUCUCAGCCCCCAUCAGGGAAGGGUGUAGUGACUGGCACAGCUGGGAACCAGGAAGGGACCCAGGGCCUGCGGUCCCAGGCUGCUCGGCCUUGGUUGCACCCAACACCACCUGGAAAGGUACCUUCCCAGAACCCCAGAGGCCAGCAUAUUGGGGCGUGGAGCCAGCGCCCUCUUGUGGGCGGAGAGCAGGACGCUGCAGACUGGCGGGGUUGGCUUUCUCCAGCCCCUGGGGAGGGGCCGAUGGUCGUGGAGUCCUUCCAGGGAAGAAGGACAUGCCACUUGGUGCUCAGGGAACGUCAGCCAGGUGAUCUUUUGGCUCCUGGCACCUAACCUUUGGACAACAAGAUCAGACAAGUCAGUCUUAAAGGAAAUCCACCCUGAAUGUUCACUGGAAGGACAGUUGCUGAAGCUGAAGCUUCAGUACUUUGGCCACCUGACAUGAAGAGCCGACUCCUUGAAAAAGACCCUGAUGCUGGGAAAGACCGAAGGCAAAAGGAGAAGGGGGCGGCAGAGGAUGAGAUGGUUAGAUAGUGUCACCAACUCAACAGGCGAGUUUGAGCAAACUCUGGGAGACAGUGGAGGACAGAGGAGCCUGGUGUGCUGCAGUCCGUGACGUUGCAGAGUCAGGCAUGGCUUAGAGGUUGAACAAACACAAACCUAACUUAGCCCUCAAAUAAGCAAUUCAGCUUCAGCUAAGACACGCCUGCCACCAGCAAGUCAAAGAAAGGAAGGCGGUUUGCAAAGACAAAUAGGAUCUGAACCCUUCCCUUCCCCUCGCUCAAUUCCAGGGCCAAGAAGACUUUCAUACAAAGAGGGAGGAGGGGUCAUUUCAGCGGGUGAAGACCCACUGCAGGGGGAGGGGCUACUCAGACAAGGCCUUCAGCCCUGCAUCUUCAGGGAGCUCCGGUGGGUGGGCAGGCCGUGAGGCCAAAGGAAAUCAAGAAAGAGGCACGGUUCACCUGCGUUUUAACAGAUGUGUCCUUUAUCAGCUGUCUUUCCAUAGUAGUGGCGGGGAACAGGAACAUAGAUUUAAAAAUAAAACCGCAAACAAAUAGCA
ensembl:lncRNA